rnacentral:rRNA from 1 species
CAGAGUUUGAUCCUGGCUCAGAUUGAACGCUGGCGGCAGGCCUAACACAUGCAAGUCGAGCGGAUGAAGGGAGCUUGCUCCUGGAUUCAGCGGCGGACGGGUGAGUAAUGCCUAGGAAUCUGCCUGGUAGUGGGGGAUAACGUCCGGAAACGGGCGCUAAUACCGCAUACGUCCUGAGGGAGAAAGUGGGGGAUCUUCAGACCUCACGCUAUCAGAUGAGCCUAGGUCGGAUUAGCUAGUUGGUGGGGUAAAGGCCUACCAAGGCGACGAUCCGUAACUGGUCUGAGAGGAUGAUCAGUCACACUGGAACUGAGACACGGUCCAGACUCCUACGGGAGGCAGCAGUGGGGAAUAUUGGACAAUGGGCGAAAGCCUGAUCCAGCCAUGCCGCGUGUGUGAAGAAGGUCUUCGGAUUGUAAAGCACUUUAAGUUGGGAGGAAGGGCAGUAAGUUAAUACCUUGCUGUUUUGACGUUACCAAC